UAACCCACGUGCACUGAAGCCUCUUCUGAAAUAGGACUUCGUUUAAGAAGACAAAAAGGCAAGGAUGUGAAUUCUGGCCCCUCACACGGGUAACCGUAUACACGCCUCUUACUUAUCAUUUAAUACUUUAUUUAUUUAUUUAUUUUUAUUAAAGCUGCAAAGCGUCCAUCACGUUUGGUCUCUCCCUUUCCUUAUAUGGUCACGGUUUCCUGUUCCCAUGGAAUUUCACUGUGCUCCUGUUUCUCAAUAAGCCUCAUUAGUACACCUUUAUUGUUCUCACUGCGUGUGUGUGUGUGCGUGUGCGUGUGUGUGUGUGUGUGUGUGUGUGUGUGUGUGUGUGUGUGCGUGUGUGUGUGUGUGUGUGUGUGUGUGUGUGUGUGUGUGCUUCCUAUUCCAUCAAGCCUGAACUCAAAUGUUUAAUCACCCAACCCUCUGCUGUGAUGCUCCAGCACGGCCGGGGGAUUUAUGGGCGUGACUGCGCUGUUAAAACACGUCCGGACUGAUCAUUAAAAUUACCAUCAACUUUUUUUUUUUUGCAGUUUUUGAACAUUUUUGGCUGCAGGUCUCAGGUGUCAUCUGUAAUAACUAUAUACUUGUGCAAUAACAGUUCAUUAAUUUCACGUUAAUGAACUCAAAGCAUUCUCCAUGUUCCGUGACAGAACGCGAGGACGCCGCGUCGAAGCAGCUCUCACACGGGAACAUGGAGUCUUUGGUCAAACCUCCCGAGGUAUUCCGUGACACCUUUCCAGCUGCGUCUGUUUAAAACACAAGACUUCAUCUGACCAGCCCAAUUUCCAUCUCCUGAACGGUAUCACAGGCUGAAUGAAUCAGAUACGCAGGAAACACACUAUGGCUUCCAAACAAGACGGUGUCCAUAUAGAUCAGCCUCCAAACGUGAAGACAUCCAAACCUGACAGCCUGGAAGCAAGAUGGCGUCGAAACGAGACAUUAAUCAAACAUGACGGCCUUCAAAACAGAAUGGUGUCCCAACAAGACGGUGUCAAAUCAAGAAGUCUCUAAACAAGAAAACCUCCAAACACGAUGUUCUCCAAACACGAUGGUCUCAAACCGAUCGUUGUUUUUUUCUGUUAUCACAGAAGCUGUAUUUUGGUGGGAAAUUAAUUGCCUGAAUUUUAAUUGACUUCGUGUCGGACUUUAAAAGGAAACGAAUGCAGCAGUUGUUUGUGUAUGUGACUCUCUAGUUAUUUAUUCCAAUGAUAUUUUAAUAACACCACUAAUUAACAAGCUCACAGCAGUGUUCAACAUUACACACACACACACACACACACACACACACACACACACACACACACACACACGUCUGCUGUGCUACAUGAAGCUGCUGUUACCAUGGCUACAGACUAGGUCAGUCAAACAUACUAUAAUGCUCAAGGUUUCUGCACACACACACACACACACACACACACGCACACACACACACACACCCACGCACACACCAGUGAUGAGCUUCAUUCAUCGUCCAGCAGCUGCAGCUGAGUCAUGGCGUGCUUACAUCACACACACCCACACACUCAUGCAUGCACACGUGUGCACUUACGCACAUGUUCGCACACACACACACACACACACACACACACACACACACACACACACAGGUAUGUAUGAUGGCUUUUAUUAAUAUUAUGAUUAAUUAUUAAUAUUAUAAAUCAUGGCUCAUAUUAAUCUGUAUGAUGGUUUGUGGAUCAUAUGAUGACUCAGUGUGUGUGUGUGUGUGUGUGUGUGUGUGUGUGUGUGUGUGUGUGUGUGUGUCUGGGCAUUUGUCUGGCUCUUAACUCUGCCACGUUACUGAACAGCCUGGAAGCCAUAGCAACCACUUCAGCCAGCGGCUAAUGCUAACACUGUUUACUGCACAUGCUCAGUGGGACUAAAGGCGCUACUACACGCCAGCAUCCCAUUAUACAUCUCACACACUCACACACACUCACACACACUCACACACACUCACACACACUCAAAGGUGUAGUUACUCUUUGCAAAUGACUCAUCAUCUUAAAAGUAUAAGAAACUAAAAUGAAAAGAUAAACACAUAUUUCUAGCACUAAUGUAAAAGUUACAUGUGGAAAUAUUCGUCCUGUGACUCAACAUGCUCCAACACCAUUUCUUAUUUAACACACAGACCAUACCUACGGUAUCCUCCUAGGCUAUAACAUCCUACCUAGUGCACUAGAUGUAGUGGACACCAUUUCAUGUUCACCAUCAUGAACAGAACACAGCACAGUAUUUACCUGAGUAAGAGUAAACCGUCAUUUUUAAUGUAAUUAAAAAGUUCUUUAUCGCAGCCUUUCACAGUGUGUUCAUCACUACACCCCUAACCGUGACCACGAUAUAAACACCCCUAACUCCCAUAACCAUAUGAACACCUGUAACCGGGAUUAGAAAUGCCAAUUACAACUUCCUGAAGAAGCAGAACUGAGGUGUAAGGUAGAGGUCAGAGGUCAUAUGUAGAGACUCACCAGCACGCGUCCGGUGAGUGUCUGUGCGGAGAUCAUGACCCCGGCCCAGUCCUUCACCGAGGUCAUCCAGCCCACCUCGCUGACCACCGUAAUGUCCUUCUUCUCCACACUGCUGACCCGCUGAACAUCCUGCACACACACACACACACACACACACACACACACAAAAGCAGACAAUUACACUGAGAGUACAUUACACAAUUCAAAUUACACACUUUUUUUUUGAGUGCACAACAACCUCCAGGUCAGUGACUAAUCACCGUCCGAUGGCCUGACAUUUCCCAGUGUGUCUGAAUUGACGGGUAAUAAAUCUUGCAGCGUG